UCAAUGAUUUACAGAUCAUUGAGCAGGCACAUUAAGUAGUAUGUCAUGAGCGUGCACCCGGUCUAUAUUAAGGAUGAUCUGUUUUGCAGGUUGUUUGGUUAAGCCAUGGGCUAUGGCAGGUAUCAGUGAGAGGAACAUCCUGGGGAGAAUGAAUGUCAAAUGCAAGUUUGGCAUAUGUGCUGCUCCUGUGAGGCUCUCUGUUUCCCCACUCCCGGAGUCUCCCGAAGAUCUAAAGCACAUCAGUGCAAUGGUAAUUCAAAAGCAGUACUGUGAGACUGAGACACUCUCACUCUUGUGAGGGAUCACCUGAGGACAAGUAGUGA